rnacentral:rRNA from 1 species
ACGGGUGAGUAACGCGUGGGAAUCUACCUAUCUCUACGGAAUAACCCAGGGAAACUUGGACUAAUACCGUAUACGCCCUUCGGGGGAAAGAUUUAUCGGAGAUGGAUGAGCCCGCGUUGGAUUAGCUAGUUGGUGGGGUAAAGGCCUACCAAGGCGACGAUCCAUAGCUGGUCUGAGAGGAUGAUCAGCCACAUUGGGACUGAGACACGGCCCAAACUCCUACGGGAGGCAGCAGUGGGGAAUAUUGGACAAUGGGCGCAAGCCUGAUCCAGCCAUGCCGCGUGAGUGAUGAAGGCCCUAGGGUUGUAAAGCUCUUUCAACGGUGAAGAUAAUGACGGUAACCGUAGAAGAAGCCCCGGCUAACUUCGUGCCAGCAGCCGCGGUAAUACGAAGGGGGCUAGCGUUGUUCGGAAUUACUGGGCGUAAAGCGCACGUAGGCGGAUAUUUAAGUUAGGGGUGAAAUCCCAGGGCUCAACCCUGGAACUGCCUCUAAUACUGGGUAUCUCGAGUUCGAGAGAGGUAAGUGGAAUUCCGAGUGUAGAGGUGAAAUUCGUAGA